ACAAAAUUUCAGACCGUUUUGACAACGUUUACUAUUGUUCAAAAAUCAAACUUUUCGGUUGCUAAAAACUGCCGAUUAUGGUAGACUGUAGUAAAACAGUCAUAUCUCCUAAAAUACUUGGAGUUUUUGAUCCUACUUUUUUUUAAAUGAAACUAGACUCGAAGAGGUUUCUUUUGGUAUGAGUUACGACCCCAGGAGAGUUCUGUACAGAGUCUGGUGAGGUUUUAAAGUUGAGUCAGUGCAGAGUAAAGCUUGUUUUCGACUUGUCUAUGUGUGUUUUAAUAUGCCUAAGUGUUUAUACUUGUUUAUGUGCUUGUUUGCUAUAAGUUUGAGUCGAGUUGAGAGUUAAGUCGAAAAUUGGACGUGUGAAUCCUUAGAAGCCAAGUAUACCUAGGGAUUGAGUUUUAACGGGUAAAUAGACGUUGAGUGAGAAGUUAGAGUAAAGUUGAGAUUGGAUUUAGAAUUUGAGUUUCUGACUAAGGUUUGUUUUAUCACAUGAACCUUCGAUGACGAUGACGAUGUGAUGAUGACGUAUGAAGGCCCGAGCGAGACGAAGAAGUAAGUUGCCUGAUUUCUUUCCAGAAUAAGCGAAGGACUUCAGGCUAAGCUGGGAGUGAGAUUGGACUGGUGCUGAUGGGGGAGAGUUUCAAAUGAUGUAAAUUAAAUUACUAUUUUGCCUCUAUGAUAAUAGAGUCUUGAUGUUUGAAUUACUUAGUUUCUUUUGAGAUCAAGCAAUACACUCACGGUUAUGUGUCUUCAUACAUAUAAUCGGUUCGCCUUUUGCUGCGAUACUCUGCAAAUUAUGCUUCCUUAUGAAAAAUGAACUAUACGCGUUUUGUUUU